AAGAAUCAUUUUCGUUUUUGUAUACUUGUGAUUUAAUUUUUUGUACUAUAGAUUAUUUGUACCGUAAGGGUUUGAUUUUUAAUGUUUUUUAAGAAGUUGAUUUUGUUUAUUGUACCUUGUGUAUCAGGGUUCAUUAAAUUUUAUUAUUUAUUUUUAUUUCCCGAUUUUAAAGGAGUUAAUGGUUUAUUUUAGUUAUUGUUUCAUUAUUAUUAAUAAUAGGCUAUUGGUAGUGAAAUGUUAUUCGUCUUUAGUGGUUUCUGGUUUUUCAAGAAAUGAAUUCAAUUCAUUCCUCUUAUUUAAUUUUUAUUUUUACUUUACUUAUUUUUAUUUGAGGGUAAGAUUAAGGGGGAUUAGCUCCUUAUUUAAUUUUUAUAAUUUUUUAUGAAACUUAGUUUUGUGGAUUUUAUGGUGAUUUUCAAUUUGAUUAUGUUAAAAUUUUAUUUAAUUUUUUCUUUAUUUAGUUUUUGUGAUUUAAUUUGUUUAUUGAAGUGUUUUCUUUAUUUUUGUCUGGAUGGUAAUUAUUGUGUAAUUAGUAAAUUUUGCUUUAUUCUGUUUAUUUGUGUGUUAAAUUCUUUUGAGGAAUUCGGCAAAUUUUUCAUGUCCGCCUGUUUAACAAAAACAUCUUUUCUUGUUAGUUUUUGAAGUAUGGCCUGCCCACUGACUUUGUGUUGAAGGGCCGCGGUAUUUUGACCGUGCAAAGGUAGCAUAAUCAUUAGUUCUUUAAUUGUGAUCUGGUAUGAAUGGCUUGACGAGACAUGAGCUGUCUUAAAUUGUGAAUAAUUGGUUGAAUUUGGUCUUUGAGUUAAAAUUCUUAAAUGUUUUUAUGGGACGAGAAGACCCUAUAGAGUUUGACAUUUGAUUUAUUUAUUGUUGUUUUGUUUGUCUUUAUUAUUGAGUAAUUACAAGUGUUUUGUUGGGGUGAUGGGAGGAAUUUAUUUAACUCCUCUUUAUUUUGAAUAUUUAUUUAUAAAUUUUUGAUCCAUUUAUUUUGAUUAUAAGAUUAAAUUACCUUAGGGAUAACAGCGUUAUCUUCCUUGAGAGUUCUUAUUGGCGGGAAGGUUUGCGACCUCGAUGUUGGAUUAAGGUUUAUUUUCGGUGUAGGAGCUGAAAGUGAUUGGGUCUGUUCGACCUUUAAAAUCUUACAUGAUCUGAGUUCAGACCGGCGUGAGCCAGGUUGGUUUCUAUCUAUAAUAUUUAUUAUACCUUAGUACGAGAGGACCGGGUAUUUGGAAUAAUUUUAUUUCGUAUGAUU
rnacentral:rRNA from 1 species